ACGAACGCUGGCGGCGUGCUUAACACACGCAAGUCGAACGGAAAGGCCCUGCUUUUGUGGGGUGCUCGAGUGGCGAACGGGUGAGUAACACGUGAGUAACCUGCCCUUGACUUUGGGAUAACUUCAGGAAACUGGGGCUAAUACCGGAUAGGAGCUCCUGUUGCAUGGUGGGGGUUGGAAAGUUUCGGCGGUUGGGGAUGGACUCGCGGCUUAUCAGCUUGUUGGUGGGGUAGUGGCUUACCAAGGCUUUGACGGGUAGCCGGCCUGAGAGGGUGACCGGCCACAUUGGGACUGAGAUACGGCCCAGACUCCUACGGGAGGCAGCAGUGGGGAAUAUUGCACAAUGGGCGGAAGCCUGAUGCAGCAACGCCGCGUGCGGGAUGACGGCCUUCGGGUUGUAAACCGCUUUCGCCUGUGACGAAGCGUGAGUGACGGUAAUGGGUAAAGAAGCACCGGCUAACUACGUG
rnacentral:rRNA from 1 species